GAUGAACGCUGGCGGCGUGCUUAAUACAUGCAAGUCGAACGGAGGAUGUAGCGAUAUAUCCUCAGUGGCGAACGGGUGAGUAACGCGUUGGUGACCUGCCCCGAAGAGAGGGAUAACAGUUCGAAAGGACUGCUAAUACCGCAUGAGGUCGUUGAGGCUAGAGGCUCAAUGACGAAAGGAGAAAUCCGCUUUGGGAGGGGCCUGCGUCCCAUCAGCUAGUUGGUAAGUAACGGCCUACCAAGGCUAUGACGGGUAGGGGACCUGAGAGGGUGGACCCCCACAAUGGCACUGAAAACACGGGCCAUACACCUACGGGAGGCUG
rnacentral:rRNA from 1 species